rnacentral:misc_RNA from 1 species
CUUUGCUUACCAACCUCUACACUCACUGUUGCUUAUUCUCAAGAAACUUGUUUUUUUGUUCUUGUCUUGGCCUUCUCUUUCCUUCUGGAGAAUAUUUUUCUUGAAGUUGCUGUCGAUGGAUGUUCUACACUUCGUGAUCGGUAUUUUUGGAAAUGCCACUGCUUUGUUCCUCUUCUUGGCUCCAACGAUUACAUUCAAGAGAAUCAUAAGGAGCAAGUCCACAGAGCAGUUCGGUCAUCACGUACGGGAUGCCUGAAACUGCUCUGUGGACUUGCUCCUUAUGA